CCUACGGGUGGCUGCAGUGGGGGAUAUUGCACAAUGGGGGGAACCCUGAUGCAGCGACGCCGCGUGGGUGAAGAAGCGCCUCGGCGCGUAAAGCCCUGUCAGCAGGGAAGAAAAUGACGGUACCUGAAGAAGCAGCCCCGGCUAACUACGUGCCAGCAGCCGCGGUAAUACGUAGGGGGCAAGCGUUAUCCGGAUUUACUGGGUGUAAAGGGGGCGCAGGCGGCGAUGCAAGCCAGGAGUGAAAGCCCGGGGCUCAACCCCGGGGGUGCUCUGGGGACUGCGUGGCGGGAGUGCAGGAGGGGAAGGCGGAAUUCCAGGUGUAGCGGUGAAAUGCGUAGAUAUCAGGAGGAACACCGGUGGCGAAGGCGGCCUGCUGGACUGCAACUGACGUUGAGGCCCGAAAGCGUGGGGAGCAAACAGGAUUAGAUACCCGGGUAGUC
rnacentral:rRNA from 1 species